rnacentral:rRNA from 1 species
UGGAGCAUGUGGUUAAUUCGAUGAUACGCGAGGAACCUUACCUGGGCUCAAAUGUAUGUUGACGUAUUCUGAAAGGGAUACUUCUUCGGACAAUAUACAAGGUGCUGCAUGGUUGUCGUCAGCUCGUGCCGUGAGGUGUCGGGUUAAGUCCCAUAACGAGCGCAACCCUAUCAUUAGUUGCCAUCAGGUCAAGCUGGGGACUCUAAUGAAACUGCCUACGCAAGUAGUGAGGAAGGUGGGGAUGACGUCAAAUCAGCACGGCCCUUACGUCCAGGGCUACACACGUGCUACAAUGGCCGGUACAAAGGGCAGCUACCUGGUGACAGGAUGCUAAUCUCAAAAGCCGGUCUCAGUUCGGAUCGGAGUCUGCAACCCGACUCCGUGAAGCUGGAAUCGCUAGUAAUCGUGAAUCAGAAUGUCACGGUGAAUACGUUCCCGGGCCUU